GUCUGGGCUGUUUCAUGCGUAGGACGCCAAGUCAUUCGCGGAAAAGGCCACCGUGCGGGGGUACAGUCAGCAUCGUUACCUGGGCGAGACGAGAGGGAGAGGGAGAGGGAGAAGGCCGCUCGGCACACGCGAGGGCGAGGGUUUCUCCACCCCGCCCCCCUCCUCUCUAACACCGAGCAGAGCAAGCAGCAGCACUAAUCCCCCAAACCAACACACCGACCCUAAUUCAACUCGGCGACGCAGGUUAUUCGAGGACAGCUUGGAGAAUGGUGUCGGACGAUCCCUCUACUACUAUUAACGAGUCAAAUGUGGCAACUGAGUCGACAGUUGGCGGAACCAGACCGACAAAACAAUUGUAAGGCUUCCAUAUUGGGUGAUACUGCCUGAGUACUCAGAUAUCUCUUCGCGCAUGUAGAAUCUCUCAGGAAGGAAAAUGCAGCUAUGCUAUCUGAAUCACACUAUUAGUAUAAAACCUAACCGUCGACCCUAAAUCUUAGAAAUGUUGUCACUUUUGUAUGCCAUGGAUAUACAUAAAUGUCGAUAGAAACUCCACUGCAUAAGUUAAUUGAAAUAUCAAAACUUGCAAGGCGAUUUUAUUCUACUCUUUGUUGAUUAGAGAAAGACCACAUUUUAUACCAUGCGGCAAAUGAAACUUUACAUCGUUGUUGGCAUCUACUAUAAGAUUGCAGAAAUUUUGCCAUUGGUAAAUUAAAUAUCUCUAGCAAUUAUGUGCUUAGCACUGAAGUUAUUAGUUAAUUUAUUGCCUGCAAGAUGUUGGUAUACUGGCUCAUUUGUUCAGACAUUUUUAGCAAAUUCCAAAAAGAUGCUCACUACAAUCUAACUUCUUUUGAUACCACUAGAAUUCUGCCAAUCAAAAUGGUUCAUGCAGUAAAUUCUGCAAGUCUGAAACAUAGUAUAUUAUAUAUGUUCUAGAGUUCAUAAUGCAAAAUAAUCUAAUUUCACAACCUUGUGCCGAAUAAGAAAAUGAUUCACAUUUGAUUUUAUAGUUCUUUUUUGCUACAGAUACCAAUGGGCAACACAUAUGGCAGUUUGUCAUGGUGCUGUCAUUAAUCCAAUUCUGAUCAUCUUUUCUUGGAACAUUCUUUCUAGUUUCUUUUGUUUUUGGAAACUCCAGGACUGUGGCUGUGAUCCGGACAAUGACUUUUGUUGCCACGGAGAGGAAUGAGCUGAAAGAUGAGAACACUACAUUACAAGCUGAAACAUCCCAGCUCCAAAAGGAGCUGCAGGGGAGAUCGAGUUAUAAUCCCACAUGGAGCAACAACAUCAAUUCAAUGACUCCCACUCAGCCGCAGCCGACUGCCACAGGGCUUCCAAUGCUGCAUCAGCCAGUUGCUAAUGGAUCCACACAAGCAACCCCCAUUCGGCAGCUCCAGCACUUUUCCGGUGGAAAGAACAAGCACUCCACCACCAACGCCGCCUGGUCCUUCCCGGGUGAUGAGACUACAUGCCGGAUAUCCGACUUUGUCGGACUUGGGUCGGGUCUUCUCCUUUGGACUUCUCACCAGUAUCACAAGAAGAGAGAUGUGGUAGCUGUGGCAUUAGUACUAGCAGCGAGGAGGAAGGAUGUAAUAAAGCAUCCACUGGUAUAUCACUAUAAUCAAGAAAUGUACAUUGCAAAUCCGAUUAUUUUUUCCCCAUUUGUUAAUGAUCAAAAUGAAGAAUGUCACUGACGCAUUACAAGAAUUCAUGAAUGUGAUGUUGCCAAAGGCAAAACGGUGAGUUUGUGGGGAAGCAGUAUUGAUGGCUUGAGUUAAUCUGUAUAUAUGUAUUUCUCUGAAUCAUUGGAUUCAGGCUUCUUUCA